rnacentral:rRNA from 1 species
CGCGUAGGCGGUUUGUACAGUCAGACGUGAAAUUCCUGGGCUCAACCUGGGGGCUGCGUUUGAUACGUGCGAGCUUGAGUUCGGAAGAGGGUCGUGGAAUUCCCAGUGUAGAGGUGAAAUUCGUAGAUAUUGGGAAGAACACCGGUGGCGAAGGCGGCGACCUGGUCCGAUACUGACGCUGAGGCGCGAAAGCGUGGGGAGAAC